CCGUGCUAGGCGGGGAGGUAGCGGUGCCCUGCACCCGCAAUCCGCUCUAGCGGGGCCGAAUUCCCUCUCGAGGGGCUUCGGCUCUCGGGGCCAGCGCGCCGGCGAAGGCGUCGAAGGCCGGGUCCCGCGCGAUGUCGGCCCGUGAAACAGGUCAGAUCCGGAAGGAAGCAGCCUUAAGCGGCACCCGGCAGGCGCAGCGGGAAAGCCCGGCUGGAGCCGACACCGGGGGCGCGCUCGAGAGCCCGCCUCGACGGAGGGUGCACGG
rnacentral:SRP_RNA from 1 species